UGAGGAAUAUUGGUCAAUGGGCGAAAGCCUGAACCAGCAACGCCGCGUGAGGGAUGAAGGCCUUCGGGUCGUAAACCUCUUUUCUGGGAGAAGAGACAAGGACGGUAUCCCAGGAAUAAGUCUCGGCUAACUACGUGCCAGCAGCCGCGGUAAAACGUAGGAGGCAAGCGUUAUCCGGAUUUACUGGGCGUAAAGCGCACGCAGGCGGCUGCGUAAGUCGGACGUGAAAGCUCCUGGCUCAACUGGGAGA
rnacentral:rRNA from 1 species